rnacentral:rRNA from 1 species
GUCCUAUAGCGGGGAGUAGCCUCUGGAAACGGGGGGUAAUACCGCAUAAGCUGCAAGGAGCGCAUGCACCAUGCAGGAAAGGUAUCUGCAAAGAUAUCACUAAAGGAGGGCUUUGCGGCCUAUCAGGUAGUUGGUGGGGUAAAGGCCUACCAAGCCAAAGACGGGUAGCUGGUCUGAGAGGAUGGUCAGCCACACUGGGACUGAGAUACGGCCCAG